UACGGGAGGCCAGCAGUGGGGAAUAUUGGACAAUGGGGGAAACCCUGAUCCAGCAAUGCCGCGUGUGUGAAGAAGGCCUGCGGGUUGUAAAGCACUUUUAUCGGGGAAGAAUAGGUUGUCGCUAAUACCGGCAACACUUGACAUUACCCGUUGAAUAAGCACCGGCUAAAACUCCGUGCCAGCAGCCGCGGUAAUACGGAGGUGCGAGCGUUAAUCGGAAUUACUGGGCGUAAAGCGUGCGUAGGCUUAAGUCUGAUGUGAAAGCCCCGGGCUUAACCUGGGAAUGGCAUUGGAAACUGGGUUUCUAGAGUGUGGUAGAGGAUAGUGGAAUUUCCAGUUGUAGCGGUGAAAUGCGUAGAUAUUGGAAAGAACACCGAUGGCGAAGGCAGCUAUCUGGGCCAACACUGACGCUGAGGUACGAAAGCGUGGGGAGCAAACAGGAUUAGAU
rnacentral:rRNA from 1 species